rnacentral:snoRNA from 1 species
GCCCUCUCAGAGUUGCACCUGGAGAGUUUCCAAUACUCUUCCAGUCUCAACUAUGGGAGGGAGAGGCAAGCAGAGGCCUACCCAUUCCAUUCCUAGCUUGGGUAGUGGCUAUCGAGUGGAAAGCAAUCGGCUACAAGU